rnacentral:rRNA from 1 species
AAUCAUGGCUCAGGAUGAACGCUGGCGGCGUGCUUAACACAUGCAAGUCGAACGAGGAUUUAACGGAAUGCGAUUCGUCAAAUGAAAUUAAAUCCGAGUGGCGGACGGGUGAGUAACGCGUGGAUAACCUGCCUCACACAGGGGGACAACAGCCGGAAACGGCUGCUAAUACCGCAUAACACAAGCAAUUCGCAUGAAUAGCUUGUCAAAGAUUUUAUCGGUGUGAGAUGGAUCCGCG